rnacentral:rRNA from 1 species
CAGCCGCCGCGGUAAAACGUAGGUGGCAAGCGUUGUCCGGAUUUACUGGGCGUAAAGCGAACGCAGGCGGACUGUUAAGUAGGAAGUGAAAGGUCGGAGCUCAACUCCAACAUUGCUUCCUAUACUGGCAGUCUUGAGUAGCGGAGAGGAAGGGGGAACGACACGUGUGGCGGUGAAAUGCGUUGAUAUGUGUCGGAACACCCAUGGCGAAAGCACCCUUCUGGACGCAAACUGACGCUCAGGUUCGAAAGCCAAGGUAGCGAACAGGAUUAGAUACCCGCGUAGUCCCUGUCUCUUAUAC